rnacentral:misc_RNA from 1 species
GCGGCGUGGCGGCCGGCCGUCUCCCUUCGUCACGAGCGAGCCUCGGGGCGCGGGGUUUCCACGAUGCGUCCACCUUGACCGAAUGAWGAGUCCCGAAUACUAUACUUGGAUUAUGGGAGCGGGUGAGUUUCGUCCCCUCGAGUGGCUUCGGCUUGCGAAGGGGGGCGGCGCGCGCUGGUUACCUUAGCACGAGUUGGAACGCGUGAUCAAUCGAAAACAACUCUCAGCAACGGAUAUCUUGGCUCUUGCAACGAUGAAGAACGCAGCGAAAUGCGAUACCUAGUGUGAAUUGCAGAAUUCCGCGAAUCAUCGAGUCUUUGAACGCAAGUUGCGCCCGAGGCUUGUCCAAGGGCAUUUCCGCUAGAGCGUCACCGCGCCCCCCACCGAUCCGAUCCGCCCGCUCCCUCUKSGAGUCGAGUGGAAGUGGCCGUSCSCGGUCUSGGCCUUCGCGCCGAGUGAGAUGGGGGUCGGCCGAAAUGGAGGGAAUUGGGCCGCCGUGGUGACACAGUCCGCGAUCGGGUGAUUUUGKUSGGGACCCUCAMACCCCCUCCGACCGGAGAGGGCUGAACCGUCAAUUUUUCURAGUGCGUGGCUGCGUCCCCCAGUUGGUUGGUUACCU